rnacentral:rRNA from 1 species
UACAGAGGGGGCAAGCGUUGUUCGGAAUUACUGGGCGUAAAGGGCGCGUAGGCGGCCUUCUAAGUCGAACGUGAAAUCCCCUCGCUCAACGAGGGAACUGCGUCGGAUACUGGCAGACUCGAGUACCGGAGAGGAAGGUGGAAUUCCCGGUGUAGCGGUGAAAUGCGUAGAUAUGCGGAGGAACACCGAUGGCGAAGGCAAUCCCCUGGGCCUGCACUGGACGCUCAUGCACAAAAGCGUGGGGGAGCAAACCAGG